rnacentral:rRNA from 1 species
CCCUUAGAUGUUCUGGGCCGCACGCGCGCUACACUGAAUGGAUCAACGUGUUUUCCCUUCCCGAGAGGGACGGGUAACCCGCUGAACCCCAUUCGUGGUAGGGAUCGGAGCUUGCAAUUGUUCUCCGUGAACCAGGAAUUCCCAGUAAGCGCAAGUCAUCAGCUUGCGUUGAUUACGUCCCUGCCCUUUGUACACACCGCCCGUCGCACCUACUGAUUGGAUGACUCGGUGAAGAAUCGGGACCGUGAGAACAAUCGAUUCAUUUCGAAUGUACUUGUGGGAACCUUUCUUAACCUCGUUUUCUAGAAGAAGGUGAAGUCGUAACA